rnacentral:rRNA from 1 species
GGAAGGCAGCAGUGGGGAAUAUUGGACAAUGGGCGCAAGCCUGAUCCAGCCAUGCCGCGUGAGUGAUGAAGGCCCUAGGGUUGUAAAGCUCUUUCACACGGUGAAGAUAAUGACGGUAACCGGAGAAGAAG